rnacentral:rRNA from 1 species
CCUACCCUGGGGAUGGGCAUAGCCGGUCUAACGGCCGGGUAAUACCCAGAGAUUCGGCGAGGAGGCAUCUUUUUGCCGGGAAAUGAAUUUCGCUUCGGGAGGGGUCCAUGAGCUAUCAGCUAGUUGGUGGGGUAGCGGCCUACCAAGGCUAAGACGGCUAGCGGGUGUGAGAGCACGACCCGCGCCACUGGCACUGAGACACUGGCCAGACACCUACGGGUGGCUGCAGUCGAGGAUCUUCGUCAAUGGGCGAAAGCCUGAACGAGCGAUGCCGCGUGAGCGAUGAAGGCCUUCGGGUUGUAAAGCUCAAAAGUGAAGAGAAAGGGAAACUUGAUCGAUUCACAGUAAGCUCGGGCUAAGUUCGUGCCAGCAGCCGCGGUAAGACGAACCGAGCGAACGUUGUUAGGAAUCACUGGGCUUAAGGGCGCGUANGCGGGCAUUCAAGUCUGUGGUGAAAUCCUCCAGCUCACUGGAGAACUGCCAUGGAUACUGGGUGUCUCGAGGGUGGUAGGGGUAUGCGAAACUAUCGGUGGAGCGGUGAAAUGCGUUGAUUCNAUAGAACUCCGGNGNCNAAGCGC